rnacentral:rRNA from 1 species
GACGAACGCUGGCGGCGUGCUUAACACAUGCAAGUCGAACGGAAAGGCCCUGCUUUUGUGGGGUGCUCGAGUGGCGAACGGGUGAGUAACACGUGAGUAACCUGCCCUUGACUUUGGGAUAACUUCAGGAAACUGGGGCUAAUACCGGAUAGGAGCUCCUGCUGCAUGGUGGGGGUUGGAAAGUUUCGGCGGUUGGGGAUGGACUCGCGGCUUAUCAGCUUGUUGGUGGGGUAGUGGCUUACCAAGGCUUUGACGGGUAGCCGGCCUGAGAGGGUGACCGGCCACAUUGGGACUGAGAUACGGCCCAGACUCCUACGGGAGGCAGCAGUGGGGAAUAUUGCACACUGGGCGGAAGCCUGAUGCAGCAACGCCGCGUGCGGGAUGACGGCCGUCGGGUUGUAAACCGCUUUCGCCUGUGACGAAGCGUGAGUGACGGUAAUGGGUAGAGAAGAACCGGCUAACUACGUG